rnacentral:lncRNA from 1 species
GUUCAGCUUUUGCCAACUCUGCAUCAGCUCUUACGGAGGCCGACACAGCAUCGACCAGUGCCAACUUUUUUAGGGUGGCUCGAUGCCUUUUAUGUUUGGCUUUGAGUUCAUCAAUGCAGCCAUCUCUUUCUCAUCGAAGUCGAUGGAUAGAGUGCUUUUUGCUCUUGACCCGCAACUCAAGAGAUGAAAAAUUUUGAUGAGCCGACUCAAGUUCGACUCUAGAAGAUUGUAGAAUGGCGGUCAAGCGGGAGACUUCUUCUUGAA